rnacentral:tRNA from 1 species
UCAGAAGAUAGUUUAAUAUAAAAUAUUGGCUUUGGAAGUUAAUGAUAAGUUUUUUCUUCUGUUUUGAA